rnacentral:rRNA from 1 species
AUUGAACGCUAGCGGGAUGCUUUACACAUGCAAGUCGAACGGCAGCGCGGACUUCGGUCUGGCGGCGAGUGGCGAACGGGUGAGUAAUGUAUCGGAACGUGCCCAGUAGCGGGGGAUAACUACGCGAAAGCGUAGCUAAUACCGCAUACGCCCUACGGGGGAAAGCAGGGGAUCGUAAGACCUUGCACUAUUGGAGCGGCCGAUAUCGGAUUAGCUAGUUGGUGAGGUAACGGCUCACCAAGGCGACGAUCCGUAGCUGGUUUGAGAGGACGACCAGCCACACUGGGACUGAGACACGGCCCAGACUCCUACGGGAGGCAGCAGUGGGGAAUUUUGGACAAUGGAGGCAACCCUGAUCCAGCCAUCCCGCGUGUGCGAUGACGGCCUUCGGAUUGUAAAGCACUUUUGGCAGGAAAGAAGCGUCGCGGGCUAAUACCCCGUGGAACUGACGGUACCUGCAGAAUAAGCACCGGCUAACUACGUG